CCGAUCUGUUUGUGCGAGUAGUACUAUUUCCGUCCAAACUCCCAUCUUUAGUGAACUGAAAUUUCGGAUAUGAAUUGAUCACCGCCUGGUCGAGGCCAAUUGUUGCACUUUCUUGGUCACGUUCAAGGUCACUCUCCUCUUCAGCCACGAAGAUAAUGCGAGGGAGAAUUAUGCCAUCAGAGAGAGAAUUCGGGUUGUUGUUUCGGUUGUUAUCGUUGUUGUUUGCAUUGUGGGAGCGGUUGCGAGAGUCACGGCAGCAGAUGUAGGAAGCAAGGAGUAAAGUGGAGAGGAGGAAAAGGAAACCAAGGGCUAUGGCUAUGGAAUAGCCAAGACCGAGAUUGGUGAGGUAAGUGGAGGAAGGAGGAGCAGUGGUGGUGACGGGUGAAGAAAUAGCGGGGAUGGCAGUGGCGGUGGUGGACAUUUGAAGUUACAGAGGGAUUGAAGGAACCCAUUUGGAGGAGAAAGAGAAGGGAUUAGGGGAGAUCUUUUGGGGGGAAGGUGGGUGGAUUUUCCAGCUGCUGCAUUUAAUACUAGGUUUAG
rnacentral:misc_RNA from 1 species